UUCUGGACUUCUCUCCACCGCCUGUCGACUUCACAAUCGCCGAUCUGGAAGUUCUCCGUUCGGCACGAAUCGACGGCGGUUCCCCGGCGUUUGAAUCAUCUCGACGUUGCCUUCACCUCUCCGAGCUUGGUUUUGAUCGUUAGUGGGUUUUGGAGGAAGGACCGAUGCAUGGAGCAAAGUCUGCUCCGAUGGUUUUGCGGGGUUCCUGACAACUACGGCGGCAAUUGAGCUGCCUAUGCGACUCUGGCGACCUUCUCGACGACUCUUGCUUUGGAUUUCUGUGACGGCUGCGUCUGUGUGAGUGGAAGUUGGGAGCCUGCGUGUAGCAGUCAUCGAAUCAAUUUGUUUAAUUCUCCACAUCUGGAUUUUUCGUGAAGUGGUGGACAUGGAGAGCAAAGGGAGAAUGCGUUCAGUUUUGUGGCUGUGUUCUUCUUGGGUGCAUAUAUCAAGUUUGAGUUGCAACGUUGGUUUAGGUAGUCUCAAGAGAUCAAUUUCGGUGACGAAGUGUUGUUUCCAGAAUCAAGGAAGCUUUCAGUUGUUGCCGAGCCUCACUAUGAAAUGCAGAGAUCAAGGCUUAGAGUUGGGCCAUGGUGGAAUUAAUCAUUAAGACAUUAGGGACUCCAGUUACCCGAGGAGCGAAAUGCUCGUGAUUCUUAAAGUUCGUAAGGA